rnacentral:rRNA from 1 species
CCUACGGGAGGCUGCAGUGGGGAAUAUUGGACAAUGGGGGGAACCCUGAUCCAGCCAUGCCGCGUGUGUGAAGAAGGCCCUCGGGUUGUAAAGCACUUUCAGUGAGGAAGAACGCCUGGUGGUUAAUACCCAUCAGGAAAGACAUCACUCACAGAAGAAGCACCGGCUAACUCCGUGCCAACAGCCGCGGUAAUACGGAGGGUGCGAGCGUUAAUCGGAAUUACUGGGCGUAAAGCGCGCGUAGGUGGCUUGAUAAGCCGGUUGUGAAAGCCCCGGGCUCAACCUGGGAACGGCAUCCGGAACUGUCAAGCUAGAGUGCAGGAGAGGAAGGUAGAAUUCCCGGUGUAGCGGUGAAAUGCGUAGAGAUCGGGAGGAAUACCAGUGGCGAAGGCGGCCUUCUGGACUGACACUGACACUGAGGUGCGAAAGCGUGGGUAGCAAACAGGAUUAGAUACCCUAGUAGUC